GGAGUGGAAAAUAUUAGUUACACAAGCAAAUCUGAGGUGUCUCUCAAAUUGCAUUUAGCUGCAAAAUCCUAGGUCAAGCUAACAGGAUGCCUGAAAUGGACACUGGUAGAAGCUCUCAGUUCUGUGAUGACUGAGAAACAAAAAUACAAAGUAAGGGUGUGCAGAGUAGAUGGACUUCAUGAGAAUUAGGGGGCAAUUUGACUAUACACUGAUCUGUAUGACUGCCUUCUUCUGUGAGAUUGUAGUGAUGUUGUAAUAUAUGUUGGGAAAUAAUUCAUGCUAUAAAAGCAUGUAUUUCAUAAAGAUUCCAAAAUCCAAACAAGUCUCUGACCGCAAGCAGCCUGAGAGGCAGGCGUCUAUUCAAAUUCCGAAAUUCCUGAAGGUGGCCAGAUAACGAUCGGCACUUUAGCUCAAGAAUAGACACACCCAGUGAGAUGAUCACCAUUAUCCUGAGACAUCGCCUAAGAGUGAUCAUUGCCCUGUUGAUAACAUCGAUCAAGAUAGCCAAAGUCGCCAGAAAGAUACUUGUGAAUACGUGCCUUCCCUAAAUCUGAUCAGUGCUGGCUAUCAACAAGGAAAUGGCGAUUGUCCAGCUCUGCCCAGUGAAAGAACCAACUAUGAAUAUGCAGAGUUACAAAAGAAACUGGGACUUCUUUGCUCAGGCAUAAUAAACUGUAUAAAGCAUGCCUGCAAGAAGUGGCUCUCGUGAAUGGUGGAGGGUCUGAUGCAAUAGAGCUGGGAUCCAGGUUCACCCAGCACCGACCCCGGGCUCGACGCUGUCUUUUUGGCUGUGGAGGUUUUGAAGACCAUAUUUUAGUAGCGGAAAAUGAUAAAGAAAUCUUUUCAGAUUUUUUAUAAUUUGGCUUUCGAUUGAUCAUUUGUAACAGUUCCAUAUAGAUGAUUCCACAUUUGGUGUCUUGGUGCAUAAAUCAAGAGCACAAUCAGUUCAUGAUAAGCACCAGUACAAGCUGGACUUCCCAGAGCAGCCAACUGAAAGAAUCUGAAAAGAAGAAAUGCAGGAAAUGCCUUGGUAAACCUUGCCUGGAAGACGGGUGACUUUUUUUCAGUAAUCUAUAAUCCAUUCCCUUGGCCUUUGGCUUUCUUUCUGGCCAUUUGCAUCCCAGAUUCCCCAUGAAGUGCAAAGCCUGAGCUUGUGGAAGUGGCUGAAAGAUGCCCUGUUCCUCUGCAGGGACACUCAACUGGAACAGGAGCCGGAGCGCUGUCUGGGGCAGCCUCCUCCGAGCUGGAAUUUGUGCCGUGCUGGGAGAGGAGGAGGAGGGGGAGAAGGCUGGCGCUGUGUGGCAGGAGCAGGAGGUUUGGGCCGCAGGACAUUCCGUCUGUGCCGCUGCCCCGCAAUGGGCGGCCGUGCCCGGGGCUCUGGGCCUGGCCCCGCGUGCGCUGAGCUCCCUGGGCUGGGCUCAGGUUAACGCUGGGACUGGGCAGAGCCUGGGCUCCAACUGGGGGCAGCAGCAGUGCAAAACACCUCUGGGCAUCUGCGUUUCCUGCUGCUGGGAAGGGGCAA